rnacentral:lncRNA from 1 species
UUUAUUUUUUCUUAAAUGUAUACUAGCAUCAUAUGGAGUAGAUACGGGUUUACUAUCAUAUUGCUCAAAUUUUCUUAAAAUUUUCUUAAUAUAGUGUUCUUGUGAUAGCAUAAGUCCAUUAGAACUUCUUGUUAUUUUAAUCCCAAGAAUUACAUCAGCUUCACCCAUAUCUUUCAUAUCAAAAUUUGAAGCUAAGAAUUUCUUAGUAUCUAUAACUAUAUUCAAAUCAGUUCCCAUUAUAAGCAUAUCAUCAACAUACAAACAAAUGAUUACAACAACAUUAUUAACAACCUUACUAUAAACACACUUAUCAGCCUCAUUAAUUAGAAAGCCAUUAGAUAUCAAUACUUUAUCAAAUUUUUCAUGCCAUUGUUUAGGUGCUUGUUUUAAUCCAUAUAAGGAUUUUACUAAUUUACAAACUUUGUGUUCAUUACCAGGAACAACACAACCUUCAGGUUGUUCCAUGUAAAUUUCUUCAUCUAAUUCUCCAUUCAAGAAUGCAGUUUUUACAUCCAUUUGGUGAAUUACUAAAUUAUGAAUGGAUGCUAAUGCAAUGAGUACUCUAAUAGAUGAAAUUCUAGAAACUGGUGCAAAGGUGUCAAAAUAAUCAAUAUCUUUUCUUUGUGAGUAUCCUUUUGCUACUAAUCUUGCUUUAAACUUAUCAAUUGAAUUAUCUGGUUUUAACUUUCUUUUAAAAAUCCACUUACAACCAAUUGAUUUAGCACCUGGAGGCAAAUCAACUAAGGUCCAUGUAUGAUUAGACAUAAUAGACUCUAUUUCAUUAUUAAUAGCCUCCUUCCAAAAAGGUGCUUCAGCUGAAGUUAUUGCUUCUUUAUAAUUUUGAGGUUCAUUAUCAACAAGAAAGGUGUAAAAAUCAUUUCCAAAAUUUUUCUCUUUUCUAGUUCUUUUACUUCUUCUUAAAUCAAUUUCAUAAUUUUCAUGUGCCUCCUUUUCUUGUUUAUUAUGAGGCAGAGAGUCAAUUUUUUCUUUACCUAGUUUCAUAGGAAAGAUGUGUUCAAAGAAAUCAGCAUUUUUAGAUUCUACUAUAGUGUUGGGUUCCAUAAUAUUAGAUUCACAUUUUAAUACCAAAAAUCUAUAAGCAGCACUAUUUAAUGCAUAACCAAUAAAUAAACAAUCAAAGGUUUUAGGUCCCAACUUUCUUUUCUUUGGUUCAGGUAAUAGAACUUUGGCCAAACACCCCCACACUUUAAGAUAUGUAAGGUUAGGUACAUGACCUUCCCAAAACUCAUAGGGUGUCUUACCAGAUUUUUUAUAAGGUAUUCUAUUUUGAAUGUGACAAGCAGAAAGAAUAGCUUCCCCCCACAAAUAAAGAGGUACUCCUGAGCUUAUUAACAUAGCAUUCAUCAUUUCUUUUAAAGUUCUAUUUUUACGUUCAGCAACUCCAUUAGAUUCAGGAGAAUAUGGUGGGGUAAUCUCAUGGAUUAUACCUUUAUCUUCACAAAAUUUAUUGAAGAGAUUAUACUCAUAUUCUCCUCCUCUAUCAGUCCUUAUUCUUUUAAUUUUCUUAUUAAAUUUAUUUUCUACUUCAGUAACAUAUUGCUGAAAUUUUUUAAAAGUUUCAUCUUUAGUCCUAAGUAGAUAUACCUUAGUGUAUCUAGAAUAAUCAUCAAUAAAAGUUAUGUAAAAUCUUUUUCCUCCUCUAGUUGGAGUGUUUUUCAAAUCUCCUAAAUCAGAAUGUAUUAAUCCAAGUAAUUCAGUUUCUCUUUCUAUUGACUUAUGACUCUUUUUAGUAGAUUUAGAUUCUACACACACUUCACAUUUGUCAUUCACAUUUCCAAAGGUAAUAUUAUUUAACAAGCCUAGGUCUUUCAUUUUCUUGAUAUAAGAAAAAUUAACAUGUCCUAAUCUACCAUGCCAUACAUCAACAGAAUCAAUCAAAUAAGCAAAAGAUGAUGCAUUUUCAUUCAUAGUUUCGGUUACAUUCAAGACAAAUAAACCCUGGUUACAAUAACCCUUCCCAAUGAAAACAUUGUUCUUAGUCAUUACAAUUUUAUCAGACUCAAAAUACACUUUAACUCCAGCCUUUCCUAAUAAAGAGACAGAUACUAAGUUCCAACGGAUAUUAGGAACAUGCAGCACAUCAUUCAGGGAAAGGACUUUUCCUGAUGUUAGCUUGAGGAGUACUUUUCCUUUGCCAACCACUGGCGAGGGUCUCGAAUCACCCAUGAACACUUGUUCUUCGCCUUCAUUCAAUAGAGUGUAGGAAGUAAACGCACUUCUAUUUCCACAAAUAUGUCUGGUAGCCCCAGAGUCUACCACCCAGUCCUUUGCUCCCAUAACCAUGUUGGUUUCAAACACAACUGCUGCAAUAAUAUCUGUCUCCACCAAGUUAGCAUUUGGUUUAGCAGAUAUAUCAUUCCUUUUUCUAAACCUGCAUUGAUUAGCAUAAUGUCCAGGUUUUCCACAAACAAAACAAGUUCCUUUUCUUUUAAAACCUGGACCUUGGAACUUAGGUUUCUUAUCAUUUUUGAGAUAAGGCUUCUUGGACUUUGAACGAGACCCACCUGGUUUGCUGACUAUUACAUUGGCUUUUGAAGUCAUUUCCUUGGCCAAUUGUUCUCGGUCUCUGACUCGAUUUUGUUCUUCUAUUCUAAUAUGAACAAUAACAUCUUCAAGACUCAUAUGUUUCCUUUUGUGCUUCAUGCUAUUUUUAUAAUUUUUCCAAGACUCAGGUAAUUUUUCAAUCAAACAGCCGGCUAGGAAAACUUCUUGAAGCAUUAUAUCUUCAUUUUUAAGAUCAGUGACUAACCUAUGAAAAUCAUGUAUUUGGGAUGACACAUCCCUAUCCUCGGACAUUUGAAAGUGCAGAAAAUUUCCUAUAGCAUAUUUCUGUACUCCAGCAUCUUCUAACACAUAUUUUUUAUUCAGAUUUUCCCAAAUUUCUGCAGCUUCUUUGUAUGAACAGUAGACAUCAAAAAGUUCAUUGGACAGUGUACUCAGAAUUGUGUGUCUACAGAUUUUAUUUCCAUGUUCCCACUCUUUGAAUUUAGCGUCAAAAUCUUCAGACCCUUCUAUCGGUUUUGACUGAUUUAAAUACUGAGCAAAAUUAAGCAUAUCCAAUGCAGAAUAAACAUGUUCUUGCCAUCUCUUAAAAUACAUACCAUUGAAACUCUCAAUUUUAGAAGUAUCAGGAAUUGAUCUAGCAGUAAUCAUAGCAGAAUCCAUGCCGAUAUAUUCUUAAGAUUGUAAGAAAAAUUAUAGAUGGAGAGAAGGAAGAACUUAUCAGUUGAGGCGUGAUUUCACUGUUCUUAAGAAUAGAUCGCGCCCCUCGGAGAUUGAAUCUCGGUGUAGCAAUUGUGCGCGUGAUAAUCGCAACGCGCCCGGUUAAACGUUUCCGGAUCGGAUUCGCCAAUUUUGGCUUGGACCUCCAUUGGGCUCGCGCGUGGGCUACUUUCUUUCUUUGCUUCACCAAGUUAAAAGGUUGAAUACUAUAUAAAGAUCUUUUGAGUUUUGUUCCUUUCCAAUGUGGGACUAAAGAAAGUACACUAGACAAAAAGACAAAAGACAAAGAAGGGCAGACUCGGAAUUUUGAAAUAUUCCAACACACUUCCCUUCCGGGGCCCAUGAAGUAUUUGGGUUCGAAGAUGAUCUUAUCAAACUUAAACCGAAAACUUUCAGAAAUUUUGGAGCCAAUGAAGUUAUUGCAUUCGAAGUAUUAUUUUUAUCAACCUUAAACUGUGUUGAGCCAUUAAUUUCAGAAAUUUUUACUGGUAUCUUGUUUGACUAUCAUUCUUGUUGACUUUAAGUUUCUAAGGAGCCUGACUUUGCUGUUUCAGUAAUUUCUAAGACCAGUAAUGGAUAUAAUGGUGGUAGAAACAAUGAGCUAUUCAAACAGCCUUGCAUGUGUGAAGGAAGACUACGCCUUGUUCUAAACGGGUUGGUGCAAAUAGGCCAUGCACCUUACUUGGAUAUUCAUGAGUGUUUUAGAGAACUGCCUAAUUCUCAUAGGAAGUGGCUCCACUCCCACACCCAUAUAGGUGGAUCCAUCAAGUGUGUACUGCAGGUAGACACACCAUCCUAAAGGACUAUGGUAUCCAUUAAGAGCUUUACCUCAUCCUUAUCUACUGCAGUUUGCACUAUCUACACCAUAGGGAUGGAUUUUCAAAAUUAAAUAUGAUAGUGUACUCACAGUCAACUAGCGACUUGUUAUUACCCAUAUGAACAUGCUUCAUGGGAUCUCCAAUCACACAUGUUGGGUUUCUGUCGUUAUUGACUUUGAUAUAGGCAUUAGUCCCAUCCCCCUCGAUGUUUCACUCACUAGUUUUCUACCGAGUGGUUUUGUCAAAGGAUCGACCAAAUUCAACUCUGACUUUACAAACUCAAGAGAUAUAAUCCCAUCAUCAAGCAGCUGCCUUACAAUAUUAUGUCUCAACCUUAUGUGUCUAUUCUUCCCAUUAUAAACUUUAUUCUUAGCUCAAUAUAUAGCACUUGGUUAUCACAAAGAAUAGACACAGAAGGUGUUGGUUUAUUCCAUAAUGGAAUAUCUCUCACAAGAUUUCUAAGCCAUUCAGCUUCAGAACCUGCCUUUUCUAAGGCAAUAAACUCGGACUCCAUCGUAGACCGAGCGAUGCAUGUUUGCUUGGAUGAUUUCCAAGAUACUGCACCCCUACCAAGAGUAAAGAUAUAUCCACUCGUGGAUUUCAUCUCAUCUGAAUCAGAGAUCCAAUUUGCAUCACUAUACCCUUCUAGUACAGCUGGAAAUCCACGAUAUAACAAACCAUAAUUAAUGGUUCCUUUCAAGUACCUUAGUACUCUAUGAACAGCAAUCCAAUGAUCCUUACUAGGAUUAUGAGUAUACCUACUUAAUCUUCCUACUGCAUAAGCAAUAUCAGGACGAGUGCAGUUAACUAAAAACAUUAAACUACCAAUGAUGCGAGCAUAUUCUAUUUGUAAAAUACCAUUUUGCGCGAUGAUCGAGCGCGAUGCGCCUGGUUAAACGUUUCCGGAUCGGAUUCGCCAAUUUUGGCUUGGACCUUCAUUGGGCUCAUGCGCGUGUGGGCUACUUACUUUCUUUGCUUCACCAAGUUAAAAGUUGAAUACUACAUAAACACCUUUUGAGUUUUAUCUCUUUCCAAUGUGGGACUAAAGGAAGUACACUAAACAAAAAGGCAAAAGCAAAGAAGGGCAGAUUGGAAUUUUGAAAUAUUCCAACAAUCCCCCACAUAUUUUAAAAUUCAAUAAUAAGUUAACGAGCGCGAGAGUUCAAUGCAUCAAAAUGGUGUCUUUGAGACUAUGAACCAUUUUUAGGACUAGUAAGUAUGACUUACAGAACUUUUGGUGAAACAUGAAAUUUCUAUGAACCAAAAGUCCUUUAUGUAAAUCAGUGACUCAUAGCCCACAUUGACCUCUCAAGUUCUGGGCGCGCGAUGAUCGAGCGCGAUGCGCCUGGUUAAACGUUUCCGGAUCGGAUUCGCCAAUUUUGGCUUGGACCUUCAUUGGGCUCAUGCGCGUGUGGGCUACUUACUUUCUUUGCUUCACCAAGUUAAAAGUUGAAUACUACAUAAACACCUUUUGAGUUUUAUCUCUUUCCAAUGUGGGACUAAAGGAAGUACACUAAACAAAAAGGCAAAAGCAAAGAAGGGCAGAUUGGAAUUUUGAAAUAUUCCAACAAUCCCCCACAUAUUUUAAAAUUCAAUAAUAAGUUAACGAGCGCGAGAGUUCAAUGCAUCAAAAUGGUGUCUUUGAGACUAUGAACCAUUUUUAGGACUAGUAAGUAUGACUUACAGAACUUUUGGUGAAACAUGAAAUUUCUAUGAACCAAAAGUCCUUUAUGUAAAUCAGUGACUCAUAGCCCACAUUGACCUCUCAAGUUCUGGGCCUUUAUUUUUCCUUAAAUGUAUACUAGCAUCAUAUGGAGUAGAUACGGGUUUACUAUCAUAAUGCUCAAAUUUUCUUAAAAUUUUCUCAAUAUAGUGUUCUUGUGAUAGCAUAAGUCCAUUAGAACUUCUUGUUAUUUUAAUCCCAAGAAUUACAUCAGCUUNNNNNNNNNNNNNNNNNNNNNNNNNNNNNNNNNNNNNNNNNNNNNNNNNNNNNNNNNNNNNNNNNNNNNNNNNNNNNNNNNNNNNNNNNNNNNNNNNNNNNNNNNNNNNNNNNNNNNNNNNNNNNNNNNNNNNNNNNNNNNNNNNNNNNNNNNNNNNNNNNNNNNNNNNNNNNNNNNNNNNNNNNNNNNNNNNNNNNNNNNNNNNNNNNNNNNNNNNNNNNNNNNNNAUUUUAAUCCAUAUAAGGAUUUUACUAAUUUACAAACUUUGUGCUCAUUACCAGGAACAACACAACCUUCUAGUUGUUCCAUGUAAAUUUCUUCAUCUAAUUCUCCAUUCAAGAAUGCAGUUUUUACAUCCAUUUGGUGAAUUACUAAAUUAUGAAUGGAUGCUAAUGCAAUGAGUACUCUAAUAGAUGAAAUUCGAGAAACUGGUGCAAAAGUGUCAAAAUAAUCAAUAUCUUUUUUUUGUGAGUAUCCUUUCGCUACUAAUCUUGCUUUAAACUUAUCAAUUGAAUUAUCUGGUUUUAACUUUCUUUUAAAAAUCCACUUACAACCAAUUGAUUUAUCACCUGGAGGCAAAUUAACUAAAAUCCAUGUAUGAUUAGACAUAAUAGAUUCUAUUUCAUUAUUAAUAGCCUCAUUCCAAAAAGGUGCAUCAGCUGAAGUUAUUGCUUCUUUAUAAGUUUGAG